AUGGUGAGAGUCACCUGGGAACUCGUAAAAAAGCACAGUGCUGCAGCCCCAGCCAGCCUCGAAGAACCUGAACCUCCUGGGAGGGUCUUCGAGGCUGCCAUAUGGUUACCAGUGCUCCAGAGACAGAGUCUCACCAGGUUGGCCCAUCUGGUCUCAAACUCCUGGCCUCAAGUGAUCCUCCUGGCCUCCAGUGAUCCUCCUGCCUUGGUUUCUGCCAAGUGCUGGGAUUAUAGGUACAAGUCAUCACACCCGGCCCCUGUGUGUCCUUGAGUGUGUUUAUCUGUGCAUAUGUGUGAGUGUGUGCCAGCCAGAUGUGUGCCCCUGAGUGUAAACAUGUGUUUACAUGUUUGUUGCAUCAAGAAAUUUCUUCCAAGAUGUAUUUUUUUGUUAUUGUUUUAAAAGGAUCCCUCCUGCUCCCUUCUCUGUCCACUCUGGGCUCCUGGCUAACAAGACCUAGAGAACCAUGGAAAAGGUCCGCCUGUGGAUGGAAAAGAAGAGCCCAGGCCACACCUUGGAUCCUUAUUCUGCCUUUGACCUGGGUAUGAUUGUGGGCAGUAGGGCAUCUCAGCACCUGCCAUGUGACUAGCCAUUGGGGCAGGGGCCUGAAGAGGGGUCAAGCUAGGCUUGGGUGGAGGGAGACAAGGGAUCUUUCGUCGUGCUGUGGAGUGCUGAAGAAAUGGAAAGUGAUGGCAAAUUGUUGUGGGCCAGACAUGGGUUCACAUCUGUUUCAGCAUGUGUUAGCUUUGUUGAUUUUAGGAAAAUCCUUCUCUGAGCCUCGGGUUGGAUCAUCUGGGUAAUGGCUAGGAGUAUAAUGCUUCAUCCUAAAUACGAUAAUGGGAAGUUGCUGCAGUGGAAUUGUCCCCAACUAUUUUUGGCACCAGGGACUGGUUUCAUUGAAGGCAUUUUUUUUUCCAUGAACAGUGGAGUAGUGUUUCCGGGAUGAAACUGUUCCACCCCAGAUCAUCAGGCAUUAGAUUCUCAUAAGGAGCCCACAACCUACAUCUGUCGAAUGCGCAGUUCACAAUAGGGUUCGCGCUCCUGUGAGAAUCUAAUGCUGCCACUGAUCUGACGGGAGGCGGAGCUCAGGUGGUAAUGCUCACCCGCUGCUCACCUCCUGCUAUGUAGCCGGGUUCCUAACAGGCCACAGACCCAUCCCCGGUCCACAGCCCAAGGGUUGGGGACCUCUGCCAUAGAUGCUUCUGUGAUGAUGUAGGUGUUCUGUAUCGGUAACGGUCAGUAUGGCAGCCACUACCUGCAUGUGGCUACUGAGCACUUGGAGUGUGCUAGUGUGACUGAAGAACUGAAAUUUCAGGUUUAUUUUAUUUUAAUUAUUUUAAAUUUAAAUUCAAAUAGCUACAUAAUAAAUAAUGGCUACUAUAUUGGAUCCACCACUAGAUGGCAGCACUGAAGAAUGUCAAGCAAUGAAAGCGGCACAAUCCAAUUAAGUGUAAAAUAAAGUGUGGGCAACUCUCUCUUUGUUCCCCCAGAUGUAUUCUGUUUUUUGUUUUGUUUUGUUUUGUUUUGUUUUGAGAUAGAGUCUCGCUCUGUCGCCCAGGCUGGAGUGCAGUGGCGCUAUCUCGGCUCACUGCAAGCUCCGCCUCCCGGGUUCACGCCAUUCUCCUGCCUCGGCCUCCUGAGUAGCUGGGAUUACAGGCGCCUGCCACCAUGCCCGGCUAAUUUUUUGUAUUUUUAGUAGAGACGGGGUUUCACCGUAUUAGCCAGGAUGGUCUCGAUCUCCUGACCUCGUGAUCCGCCCGCCUUAGCCUUCCAAAGUGCUGGGAUUACAGGCGUGAUCCACCGCGUCCGCCCCCCCCAAAAGUAUUAUUUUCUUUUGGUCCAUGAACUUCAAGCCUUGGAGUGACUGACCUCUUUUACAGGGACACUAGGAGGCAGCAAUGGCCAGUACCUUAAUGCCCAAUGCACAGUUUUUCUUAAAUCCCUU
rnacentral:lncRNA from 1 species